UACAGAGGGGGCAAGCGUUGUUCGGAAUUACUGGGCGUAAAGGGCGCGUAGGCGGCCUGCUAAGUCGAACGUGAAAUCCCCGAGCUCAACUCGGGAACUGCGUCCGAUACUGGCAGGCUUGAAUCCGGGAGAGGGAUGCGGAAUUCCAGGUGUAGCGGUGAAAUGCGUAGAGAUGUGGAGGAACACCGAUGGCGAAGGCAGCCCCCUGGGUCAAGAUUGACGCUCAUGCACGAAAGCGUGGGGAGCAAACAGG
rnacentral:rRNA from 1 species